rnacentral:rRNA from 1 species
AAUGAACGCUGGCGGCAGGCCUAACACAUGCAAGUCGAACGGAUCCUUCGGGAUUAGUGGCGGACGGGUGAGUAACGCGUGGGAACAUACCCAAAGGUACGGAAUAGCCUCGGGAAACUGGGAGUAAUACCGUAUGUGCUCGAAAGAGCAAAGAUUUAUCGCCUUUGGAUUGGCCCGCGUUGGAUUAGGUAGUUGGUGGGGUAAUGGCCUACCAAGCCGACGAUACAUAGCUGGAUUGAAAGGAUGACCAGCCACACUGGGACUGAGACACGGCCCAGACUCCUACGGAAGGCAGCAGUGGGGAACCUCAGACGAUGGGGGAAACACUGAUCUAGGCAUGCCGCGUGAUCGAUGAAGGCCUUAGGGUAGUAAAGAUCUUUCAGGUGGGAAGAUAAUGACUGUACCACCAGAAGAAGCCCCGGCUAACUCCGUGCCAGCCGCCGCCGUAAGAC